rnacentral:lncRNA from 1 species
UCUUCAAGAAACCAUCACUAUUCGGUUUCCUCUCUCUGUUCUGAUGAAGAUGGUGGUGCCAGGAAGAGGACUGCGACUAUAUUACGAGUAUCAUCUGUUUCACAAAACCUCACCAGAACCCUAUUUUUCCUUCUCGUCGAGGUUUAUACUCUGAUGUCUCGUAUAAAUGUCGCUUGAAGUUUUUGUUGAUAUUACAAUCGCCCCAUGACUCUAUUUUUGUGUUCUGCAAUCGCUGCAUCUUUUUGUUAGAUGAUUCUGAGAAGAUUUUGUUGAUAUUGGUACGGGUCAUUUCAUUGAGGUUUGUGUUUUUUUUUUCUAUUUAACAUUUUUGGUUUGUGUUGCUUUUAUAAGUUAACUACGUUUGUUUUUUUAGAAUUAGGGUUUGUAUAUGGUGGACAAACAGGUUAAUGGCGGUGGUGGUGCUAUCAGAUGGUCAUGCCAACUCUAAAGGGUGGUGAUUAUUCAACCGAUCCAUCAACAGUGUACC